rnacentral:rRNA from 1 species
AAACGAUGAGUGCUAAGUGUUGGAGGGUUCCGCCUUUCAGUGCUGCAGCUAACGCAUUAAGCACUCCGCUGGGGAGUACGACCGCAAGGUUGAAACUCAAAGGAAUUGACGGGGGCCCGCACAAGCGGUGGAGCAUGUGGUUUAAUUCGAAGCAACGCGAAGAACCUUACCAGGUCUUGACAUCCUUUGACCACUCUAGAGAUAGAGCUUUCCCUUCGGGGACAAAGUGACAGGUGGUGCAUGGUUGUCGUCAGCUCGUGUCGUGAGAUGUUGGGUUAAGUCCCGCAACGAGCGCAACCCUUAUUGUUAGUUGCCAUCAUUCAGUUGGGCACUCUAGCGAGACUGCCGGUGACAAACCGGAGGAAGGUGGGGAUGACGUCAAAUCAUCAUGCCCCUUAUGACCUGGGCUACACACGUGCUACAAUGGGAAGUACAACGAGUCGCUAGGCCGCGAGGUCAUGCAAAUCUCUUAAAGCUUCUCUCAGUUCGGAUUGCAGGCUGCAACUCGCCUGCAUGAAGCCGGAAUCGCUAGUAAUCGCGGAUCAGCACGCCGCGGUGAAUACGUUCCCGGGCCUUGUACACACCGCCCGUCACACCACGAAAGUUUGUAACACCCGAAGUCGGUGAGGUAACCUUUUGGAGCCAGCCGCCUAAGGUGGGAUAGAUGAUUGGGGUGAAGUCGUAACAAGGUAACCAAGGGCGAAUUCUG